GAUGAACGCUGGCGGCGUGCCUAAUACAUGCAAGUCGAGCGAACGGACGAGAAGCUUGCUUCUCUGAUGUUAGCGGCGGACGGGUGAGUAACACGUGGAUAACCUACCUAUAAGACUGGGAUAACUUCGGGAAACCGGAGCUAAUACCGGAUAUAUUUUGAACCGCAUGGUUCAAAAGUGAAAGACGGUCUUGCUGUCACUUAUAGAUGGAUCCGCGCUGCAUUAGCUAGUUGGUAAGGUAACGGCUUACCAAGGCAACGAUGCAUAGCCGACCUGAGAGGGUGAUCGGCCACACUGGAACUGAGACACGGUCCAGACUCCUACGGGAGGCAGCAGUAGGGAAUCUUCCGCAAUGGGCGAAAGCCUGACGGAGCAACGCCGCGUGAGUGAUGAAGGUCUUCGGAUCGUAAAACUCUGUUAUUAGGGAAGAACAUAUGUGUAAGUAACUGUGCACAUCUUGACGGUACCUAAUCAGAAAGCCACGGCUACUACGUG
rnacentral:rRNA from 1 species